AGCUGGUCCUAAGGUAGUGCGUUGUCUCAAUUGAUUGCUCAGUCAGUUACACAUUGAACUCCUUCCUACUCUAUGCUUUCCCUCCUUCUCACUACUGCGCUUGACUAGAGCUAG
ensembl:misc_RNA Gm24203 predicted gene, 24203